UACAAAGCAUGUGGUCUGUGCAUAGGA
rnacentral:piRNA from 1 species